GGUGUGCCUAAUACAUGCAAGUCGAACGCGUUGGCCCAAUUGAUUGAUGGUGCUUGCACCUGAUUGAUUUUGGUCGCCAACGAGUGGCGGACGGGUGAGUAACACGUAGGUAACCUGCCCAGAAGCGGGGGACAACAUUUGGAAACAGAUGCUAAUACCGCAUAACAUCGUUGUUCGCAUGAACAACGCUUAAAAGAUGGCUUCUCGCUAUCACUUCUGGAUGGACCUGCGGUGCAUUAGCUUGUUGGUGGGGUAACGGCCUACCAAGGCGAUGAUGCAUAGCCGAGUUGAGAGACUGAUCGGCCACAAUGGGACUGAGACACGGCCCAUACUCCUACGGGAGGCAGCAGUAGGGAAUCUUCCACAAUGGGCGCAAGCCUGAUGGAGCAACACCGCGUGAGUGAAGAAGGGUUUCGGCUCGUAAAGCUCUGUUGUUAAAGAAGAACACGUAUGAGAGUAACUGUUCAUACGUUGACGGUAUUUAACCAGAAAGUCACGGCUAACUACGUGCCAGCAGCCGCGGUAAUACGUAGGUGGCAAGCGUUAUCCGGAUUUAUUGGGCGUAAAGAGAGUGCAGGCGGUUUUCUAAGUCUGAUGUGAAAGCCUUCGGCUUAACCGGAGAAGUGCAUCGGAAACUGGAUAACUUGAGUGCAGAAGAGGGUAGUGGAACUCCAUGUGUAGCGGUGGAAUGCGUAGAUAUAUGGAAGAACACCAGUGGCGAAGGCGGCUACCUGGUCUGCAACUGACGCUGAGACUCGAAAGCAUGGGUAGCGAACAGGAUUAGAUACCCUGGUAGUCCAUGCCGUAAACGAUGAGUGCUAGGUGUUGGAGGGUUUCCGCCCUUCAGUGCCGGAGCUAACGCAUUAAGCACUCCGCCUGGGGAGUACGACCGCAAGGUUGAAACUCAAAGGAAUUGACGGGGGCCCGCACAAGCGGUGGAGCAUGUGGUUUAAUUCGAAGCUACGCGAAGAACCUUACCAGGUCUUGACAUCUUGCGCCAACCCUAGAGAUAGGGCGUUUCCUUCGGGAACGCAAUGACAGGUGGUGCAUGGUCGUCGUCAGCUCGUGUCGUGAGAUGUUGGGUUAAGUCCCGCAACGAGCGCAACCCUUGUUACUAGUUGCCAGCAUUAAGUUGGGCACUCUAGUGAGACUGCCGGUGACAAACCGGAGGAAGGUGGGGACGACGUCAGAUCAUCAUGCCCCUUAUGACCUGGGCUACACACGUGCUACAAUGGACGGUACAACGAGUCGCGAACUCGCGAGGGCAAGCAAAUCUCUUAAAACCGUUCUCAGUUCGGACUGCAGGCUGCAACUCGCCUGCACGAAGUCGGAAUCGCUAGUAAUCGCGGAUCAGCAUGCCGCGGUGGAAUACGUUCCCCGGGCCUUGUACACACCGCCCGUCACACCAUGAGAGUUUGUAACACCCAAAGUCGGUGGGGUAACCUUUUUAGGAGCCAGCCGCCUAAGGUGGGACAGAUGA
rnacentral:rRNA from 2 species